GAAAAGAAAUUAUGGGCGAUAGAUAUAUUUUUAUAUUGUUGCAAAAUAUGAGUAUUUGGCGGGAUUAAAAAUUUGGCUUUCCCACUUAUAAUGUUUCCCAUUCCAGCACAAAACCCUCCUGCGCUCUCUCUCUCUCUAGUCGAACACUCUUACCAUUCAUAGUCCAACCGCAAACCCCUUCUCAAUCUACUGUGCCCCGACCAUAACCACCUUCUAGAUUGUGGCAGACGCACAACACCCCUCUUCUCGUUCAGGUUAGGUUUCCUGAAUUUCUCAUACCUUGCGGCUACCUUCUCGAUCUACAGAAACCCCCUUCUCGAUUGUGGCAGACGCACAACAACCCUCUUCUUAUUCAGAUUGUUCAGAGCAGCAGAACUUCGCACCUAUUAGCAAGUUCCAACCGACAUUAUAGGUCAUGGGGCUGGAAUGCAAGAGGGUUGAGAUGAGUUUUUAAUGUUUUAAAUUGGGGGACCUGGAUUUUUUAUGGCAAACACAAAUGGGUAGAUAGUUUUCUUGUCAUCGAGAUCUUUAGAUAUAGAUUACAACCAUAAUGACUCCGUUUGUUUUGUCGUGGAAAAUUUUUUGUGUCAAAUUUUACAGUAAAAUUGGAUUUUCCAUUGUUUUAUUAUUUGGAAAAUUUUCACAAUGUAAAAUUUUACCGGAGACCUCAUCUUUCCCGAAAAGGAGACUUGAAAAUUUUAUCCCAAAUUUAUAUGGAAAAUGUCCCCGUAAAAGGCCCAAAACAGGAAACACAAAAACACGAUCUCCAAAGUCUGCAACCUUCUGUCCGAAGCUGUGAGCUCCCUUCUCAUUUCCAUAGUUCUCCGCUGCAACUCUAAAAUCGAUCAUGGAUCGAAGACGCUGCGAAGCUCUAUGAACUCCUCUCUCGUUCUAUAUAGUUCUUGGUCUUACCUCUGCAAUCAGGUCAGUUCAUUUCGUCUCUGUUGGCAUUAAUGGUGUGAUCAGAACCAAGAUUGUAAGCUGAUCCUCGAUCUCCCUUUUGCCUUUUGGAAGCUCAUUCUAGAGAGGGAGUGAAGAGGGAGAAGCAGAGCUUUGUGAUGUUCACUAAUCGGCCUCAAAUUACAGAUUUUAGCUGUCCAGGUACUCUUAAAGUGUUCAAAAAUUAUCUGUUUAAGUUUUUAUCACUGUAUGAGAUUCCAAAAUUUGUUGAGAAUCUGGUAAUGGAGUAAUAAUAGACCUACGAUUUCAACUUUUGGGGAAGAUUACGAGAAGGCUGAGUUCUCUAAUCUCUGGGUGUCUUUGAGGUGAUCUGAGAUUGUACACUGUUUUUCCGAUUUGGACUCUCCAAUGCAUAAUGAUCCCAUCGCCUCCUACUUCGCAUGAAAACAGUGGCUGCACCCCAUAUUCUCAUUCCUCCUUCCUUCAAUCCUUUGGAAAGUGAUGCGAGGAUGCUCUUGUGUACAACAUAAGUAGGUGCUUCAUCAAAUAUCCAGGUUCGGCAUUUCAAAUGCCAUUGAUCAGAGAAUAACCAAGUGUCGUUGCUUGGAGGCGCUUGUCAAGUGUUCAAAUUGGCAAUGUGUGGCUACGAGCCAAAUCCCAGUCGUACUUCCGAUUUUCGAUCCAAGGCUUAUCACAAUAGUUUCAAAUUAGACCAGAUUAAGGCACGGAUGUAACAGAUCAAAUGUGGCAUGGUGUGGCUGAAAACUUUAUCCUCCCAUGUAAUUUUUGAUGACAAUUUUUUUAAUUCAUAAAAAAAUUGUAUGAAGCUUGCUAUGAGUUUUGUGAACCUUAAAGUUCUCUCA